rnacentral:lncRNA from 1 species
AUGAGGCUGUUGCUAGGCUCCUUGUUACUUGGUUACAUCCAGCUUCUCAGGACCCAUCCAGCUGCAUCCCACGGGAUCUGGGCUGUAUUUUCUUCCCCAAGAAUGAAGGCAGAGCAUAGAAACAAGAAGCCAGGAGGAGAAGGGGGGAUGCAAGGGAGGGCCCCUGGCAAGGAUCUGAAACUCUUUUGCAGCCUAAUAGCAUGUACCUGCAGCAGAGCUAAACCUGCUCAAGCAGAAGUCAACUGACUUAACCAGCCUGGAAUAUUGCACUAGGCCUCGCUGGAAUGCUGCUGUGUGCCCGGGAUCAACCAGCAUGGAGAAACCCUCCUCCAGUUGUAUUUCCUUGAGGAGCAAGUGGGCAACAGAGCCUGGAGCACAAGUCUGAGGAGGAAUGGCUGAGGGACCUGGAGAAGGCUCAGGGGGAUGUUAUUGCUCUCUACAACUACCUGACAGGAGGUUGCAGUAAGGUGGGAUCAGUCUGUGCUCCCAAGGAACAAGGAAUGGGACAAGAGGAAACAGCCUCAAGCUGCAUCAGGGCAGGUUUAGAUGGAGAUUUGGAACAAUUCCUUCCCCAAAGGGUGCUCAGGCAUUGGAACAGGUAGCCCAGGGUAGGGCAGGAGUCACCGUCCCUUGGAAGUCUUCAAGUCCAGGUUGGACACAGGGGCUUGGAGCAGCUGCUCCAGUGGAAGGUGUCCCUGCCCUGGGUGUGCUUCAAGGUACCUUCCAACCCAAACCAUUCCAGGAUUCUGGCACCCAU